rnacentral:rRNA from 1 species
AUUGAACGCUGGCGACAUGCUUUACACAUGCAAGUCGAACGGUAACAGGGUGCUUGCACCGCUGACGAGUGGCGAACGGGUGAGUAAUGCGUCGGAACGUGCCGAGUAGUGGGGGAUAACGCAGCGAAAGUUGUGCUAAUACCGCAUACGUACUGAGGUAGAAAGUGGGGGACCUUCGGGCCUCACGCUAUUCGAGCGGCCGACGUCUGAUUAGCUAGUAGGUGAGGUAAAGGCUCACCUAGGCGACGAUCAGUAGCGGGUCUGAGAGGAUGAUCCGCCAAACUGGGACUGAGACACGGCCCAGACUCCUACGGGAGGCAGCAGUGGGGAAUUUUGGACAAUGGGCGAAAGCCUGAUCCAGCCAUGCCGCGUGUCUGAAGAAGGCCUUCGGGUUGUAAAGGACUUUUGUCAGGGAGGAAAUCCCUAGUGCUAAUAACACUGGGGGAUGACAGUACCUGAAGAAUAAGCACCGGCUAACUACGUGCCAGCAGCCGCAGUAA